rnacentral:rRNA from 1 species
GACUCCUACGGGAGGCAGCAGUGAGGAAUAUUGGUCAAUGGGCGAGAGCCUGAACCAGCCAAGUCGCGUGAGGGAGUACUGCCCUAUGGGUUGUAAACCUCUUUUGUCGGGGAGCAAAAGCCGGACGUGUCCGGCUGUGAGAGUACCCGAAGAAAAAGCAUCGGCUAACUCCGUGCCAGCAGCCGCGGUAAUACGGAGGAUGCGAGCGUUAUCCGGAUUUAUUGGGUUUAAAGGGUGCGCAGGCGGAUUUUUAAGUCAGCGGUCAAAUCGUGGGGCUCAACCCCAUCCAGCCGUUGAAACUGGGGAUCUAGAGUGUGCGAGAGGUAUGCGGAAUGCGUGGUGUAGCGGUGAAAUGCAUAGAUAUCACGCAGAACCCCGAUUGCGAAGGCAGCAUACCGGUGCACAACUGACGCUCAGGCACGAAAGCGUGGGUAUCGAACAGGAUUAGAUACCCUGGUAGUCCACGCAGUAAACGAUGAAUGCUACCUGUUUGGCCAGAUUGAAGGCUGAGCGGG